AAACUUUCAACAACGGAUCUCUUGGUUCUGGCAUCGAUGAAGAACGCAGCAAAAAUGCGAUAAGUAAUGUGAAUUGCAGAAAUUCAGUGAAUCAUCGAAUCUUUGAACGCACAAUUGCGCCCGCUGGUAUUUCCGGCGGGCUAUGCCUGUUCGAGCGUCAAUU
rnacentral:rRNA from 1 species